rnacentral:rRNA from 1 species
ACGUGAUCUGAGUUCAGACCGGAGUAAUCCAGGUCAGUUUCUAUCUAUCAGAAGUCUUCUCUAGUACGAAAGGACCGAAAAGACAUAGCCAAUGCUCUAGCAAGCUAUCCCCACCAACUUAUGACCCAAACUUAAUAAUAAAAUAGUUCAACACUUAGCCUAAGAAAAAGGCA